CAUGGUACUGAAAAAAUGCUGUCUUCACUUCAAAUUGCGCACAGGGUGCAUUAUACUCGCAGUCAUAUAUGUUAUAAUAGGCUUGCCUCUUGGCUUCGCUUACGUAAUACUCUCCAAAUGGACUUACGCAGAUAAUUUGUGGAUGUUUAUAAUAACAUAUGCUGUCAACAUAGCGAUAUCAACGCUAAGCCUUUCGUUUUUAUGUUGUGGAAUAAUUCCGGCCAAACCCUUCUGCCGCGAAGAUGCAAAAUCGUUUUGGGCGUAUGUUAUAAUGGCAUUUAUCAUUCAUUUGGGAUGUGGCAUUACGGCAAUUGUUCGCAGCGAUAAAUACGCUUACACUGUACUGAUCACAAUUGUCAUGGCAGUUUAUGAUUUUCACGCUCUACUCGUGUCGUACAGCUAUGCCAAGGAAGUACAUGACACACCUCCUGCCCCGUAAAAAUUGUCGCAUUUUUUACACCAAAUCCGU